AAAUUAUAUUGGUGACGUCACGAGCAGUAUGCCUAUGCUCUUUUCGCUCUAGCGUAGCCUCUACUGGCCUUGUUUCUCAAAGUUUUGGGUUCUUGGUCAGGUUACUACUUUCCUGAGUUGAAGUAAGUAUUAUGAAGUCUAUUAGCUCGAAUGACCUGCUGAAUCCUUGUUUGCUUGAUCACUGGAUCUCGUUGUGCUGUAAAACAUGGCGACCUAUAGUUCUGACUUUAAACACCUUUUCUCCAAUCUGGGGCAGAGUUAGGUAUGAAUAUGAAACCAAUGAAGAUAAAUUGUCUUUUGUUUCUUGUACUGACUCUUUUCAGAAGAAAUAUAGAUUUUUAUGAAGUUUUUU